rnacentral:rRNA from 1 species
CCUACGGGAGGCAGCAGUGGGGAAUAUUGGACAAUGGGCGCAAGCCUGACCCAGCAACGCCGCGUGAGGGAAGAAGGCUUUCGGGUUGUAAACUUCUUUUCUCAGGGACGAAGCAAAUGACGGUACAUGAAGAAUCAGCCACGGCUAACUACGUGCCAGCAGCCGCGGUAAUACGUAGGUGGCAAGCGUUAUCCGGAUUUACUGGGUGUAAAGGGGGUGUAGGCGGGAAAGCAAGUCAGAUGUGAAAACCAUGGGCUCAACCUGUGGCCUGCAUUUGAAACUGUUUUUCUUGAGUACUGGAGAGGUAGAUGGAAUUCCUAGUGUAGCGGUGAAAUGCGUAGAUAUUAGGAGGAACACCAGUGGCGAAGGCGGUCUGCUGGACUGCAACUGACGCUGAGGCGCGAAAGCGUGGGGAGCAAACAGGAUUAGAUACCCGUGUAGUC